GCCCCGCUUGGUUUUGCACCUUGGAAAGGGGAGGGGGAGGGAGAAAAAGGGCAGCUACCACCUAGCGCUUCAAAGGAGGGGAGGGGACGCUUCCUGAUGCCAGCCAGUUAAAAGCCCCGUUGUGCCUUCGCUUCACCUCUGCUUUCAGAGACUGAUGCUGCCAGAGUGAGUGACACAUCAUUAAAAGCAAUCCCUGACUUUAGAUUCACCUGGUACUCUACAACAUUGGAUGGUUUCCAGUCUCUCCAUCAUGUUUGAAAAUGCAAUCGCAAAAUAAUUCCCAUCAAAAUAGGUUGAUGCGAUGGCACUAUGGGCAUGUGAGUGAAUCAACACCAAAAGAGAGAGAAUUGCACAGGUCAUGACCACUGCCUUGAGUUUGCAGAAAAUCAGAGCUUCAAACAAAUCCAGAUGAUCAGAACUGUAAACAAAUCACGAUGAAAGCCUACUCAGCCAAUGGCAAUCUUUAUUUAAGCAUCAGCAUCAGUCCACUCAGUAAUAUUUACUUUGAAGUAAUCUGUCUCCCUUCUGAUAUUUGAUAUUUUAGUUCCAUUGUUCCUGCCAGCAUUGAAUUAUCGGAGUUAUAAUUAUAAUCUAAAACAUCUGGAGAAUAUUAGGCUGCAUAGCCCCUCUAGCACUUUGAUCCAUGAAAGUGGAUUUUUUCCAGGCUAUAACAAAAUGUCUUUAAAGAUACAAGAAAUCAGUUGAUUCCUGGUCAAUCUUUUUUUUUCAAGAACAAAGGGAAACCUAUUUCUAUCCUCUUCAUAUUAUUUUGUAGUUUCUUCAUGCAGAUAACUAAUAAUCACUGUAUGUAACUCCCAUAACGUUAUAAAUCUGACUUGUCAAUAAUGGCUUUGCAACAAUAAAAAUUAAUC